GCGGAAGAGAAAAGCUAGAGGAAGUCCAAUUUUCGCAGCAAGUUUCUGCAGUGAGACACUUUAGUAAAAUGGACGUUUCUCCCAAUCCAACCGUUGGAUCGUCGCGGUUCUUGGACACAACGUUCCAGACUCGUAGAGAUUUUUGGUGCGUCUCUGCACGUUGUUAGAAAAGAUUUUCGGAGAAAAGUUGGAAGCGGUGGCAUAAGCUAUGGCAACCGGGAGAGUAGAGAAAUCUCAUAUCCAAGGUACUCAAGAAUAGCUGUGGAAGUGAAGUAACUUUAUGAAGUCUUUAGUUACUGUUAGUUCGAGUUGGUCUUGCUCUGAUACGUAGCACUCGGGGGAUGUUUAUGUGUUGUUUCUAAGUUGCUGUUAUUACUAAUUGUUGAAUAAUUAUAAAUUGAACGAUGUUUUAGUUGAAUAAAGUUGCUAACUGAUCUAUAAGUUGGAAGUUGUAAUUAUGUGGUUUUAAUAUUAAAAAGGUUGUUAUGUUCCUAUGAAUAAAUAUGUUGUGAGUUGUUCAGCCGAAUGCUAUGUAUCAUAUUAAAAGAAAUACAGGUUGCUUUGUUGUUUUAUGUUGAAAUGUGACAUCCUGUGAUAUGUUUGAAAAUUUUAGCACUCUGAUUUUUAAUAUAAAUGUCGGGU